rnacentral:rRNA from 1 species
CAUGCAAGUCGAGCGGCAGCACGGGGGCAACCCUGGUGGCGAGCGGCGGACGGGUGAGGAACACAUCGGAAUCUACCCUGUCGUGGGGGACAACGUAGGGAAACUUACGCUAAUACCGCAUGAUCUGGAGACAGCAAAGCCGGGGACCUUCGGGCCUGGCGCGAUGGGAUGAGCCGAUGUCCGAUUAGCUAGUUGGCGGGGUAAGAGCCCACCAAGGCGACGAUCGGUAGCUGGUCUGAGAGGACGACCAGCCACACUGGAACUGAGACACGGUCCAGACUCCUACGGGAGGCAGCAGUGGGGAAUAUUGGACAAUGGGGGCAACCCUGAUCCAGCCAUGCCGCGUGGGUGAAGAAGGCCUUCGGGUUGUAAAGCCCUUUUGUACGGGAAGAAAAGCCGUCGGUGAACAUCCGGCGGUGCUGACGGUACCGUAAGAAUAAGCACCGGCUAACUUCGUGCCAGCAGCCGCGGUAAUACGAAGGGUGCAAGCGUUACUCGGAAUUACUGGGCGUAAAGCGUGCGUAGGUGGUGGUUUAAGUCUGAUGUGAAAUCCCCGGGCUCAACCUGGGAAUGGCAUUGGAUACUGGAUCGCUAGAGUGCGGUAGAGGGUGGUGGAAUUCCCGGUGUAGCAGUGAAAUGCGUAGAGAUCGGGAGGAACAUCUGUGGCGAAGGCGGCCACCUGGACCAGCACUGACACUGAGGCACGAAAGCGUGGGGAGCAAACAGGAUUAGAUACUCUGGUAGUCCACGCCCUAAACGAUGCGAACUGGAU